rnacentral:rRNA from 1 species
CCUACGGGGGGCAGCAGUGGGGAAUAUUGGACAAUGGGGGCAACCCUGAUCCAGCCAUGCCGCGUGUGUGAAGAAGGCCUUUUGGUUGUAAAGCACUUUAAGCAGGGAGGAGAGGCUAAUGGUUAAUACCCAUUAGAUUAGACGUUACCUGCAGAAUAAGCACCGGCUAACUCUGUGCCAGCAGCCGCGGUAAUACAGAGGGUGCGAGCGUUAAUCGGAAUUACUGGGCGUAAAGCGAGUGUAGGUGGCUCAUUAAGUCACAUGUGAAAUCCCCGGGCUUAACCUGGGAACUGCAUGUGAUACUGGUGGUGCUAGAAUAUGUGAGAGGGAAGUAGAAUUCCAGGUGUAGCGGUGAAAUGCGUAGAGAUCUGGAGGAAUACCGAUGGCGAAGGCAGCUUCCUGGCAUAAUAUUGACACUGAGAUUCGAAAGCGUGGGUAGCAAACAGGAUUAGAUACCCGGGUAGUC